AUGCUGGUGGUGCAGGAGUGUGUGAGCUCUCUUGAAAGGACUAAAGUGCUGAAGAUCACACCACCUGUGUCCCACUGCCUCCAUCCCCUCGUGCCAGGAUCUGCUGUGCUCCAGGGCCAUGGAGGAGCAGGUGCAGCAGGAGAUGCCAUCAGCCCAGUGCACAGGAGGCCACCACCCCAUGCAGGAGGGAGAGGUGUUCAACACACGAUACCAGGUGCUGCACAAACUGGGAUGUGGCGCCUUUGCCACUGUCUGGCUGUGCCAGGACAUGAGGUGAGGGGCUGAGUGCCACUCAGGGGGGUGGGAAGGGGUGGCUGAUGUCCUGGGCAGGGCUGGCUCCUCUUGCAGAAACAGCAGAGCACAGCCUGGGAGAAUGCCAGGCAUCCCUGAGCACAGGGAAAAGCUGACUGCAAGAUCAGUGGGGUGCAACGAGCAGAACUGGUCC
rnacentral:lncRNA from 1 species